AGUGAAGCGGCAACAGCUCAAAUUUGAAAUCUGGCUCUCGGGCCCGAGUUGUAAUUUGUAGAGGAUACUUUUGAUGCGGUGCCUUCCGAGUUCCCUGGAACGGGACGCCAUAGAGGGUGAGAGCCCCGUCUGGUUGGAUGCCAAAUCUCUGUAAAGUUCCUUCGACGAGUCGAGUAGUUUGGGAAUGCUGCUCUAAAUGGGAGGUAUAUGUCUUCUAAAGCUAAAUACCGGCCAGAGACCGAUAGCGCACAAGUAGAGUGAUCGAAAGAUGAAAAGCACUUUGAAAAGAGAGUUAAAAAGUACGUGAAAUUGUUGAAAGGGAAGCGUUUAUGACCAGACUUGGGCUUGGUUGAUCAUCUGGGGUUCUCCCCAGUGCACUCUUCCAGUCCAGGCCAGCAUCAGUUUUCGCCGGGGGAUAAAGACUUCGGGAAUGUGGCUCUCUUCGGGGAGUGUU
rnacentral:rRNA from 1 species